rnacentral:hammerhead_ribozyme from 1 species
AUCCAGUUGACGAGUCCCAAAUAGGACAAAGUGAUGUGCGUCAAACUGGAU